AUCUUUGCGCUUGGGGCAAUGACGCAGCUAGUGAGGUAAAAACCGAGGCGCGUCAAUUGCUGGUUGAAAACUAUUUCCAAACCCCUCUUUGGCCUGGGCUCGCCCGGUUUGCCACUGAGAAUUUCUGGAAGGGCCCCUCUAAUCCAGGGUAAGGCC
rnacentral:snRNA from 1 species